CAGAGCCUGUGGCUAGCUCAGAGCCCAGCAAACCGGAGGCCUCGGGAGAAAGUGAGAUGGCCACCCGUUUGGAGCAGCUGACGACAGGGUUGCCCCCGGUGAGCUUCGCAGGGGAGGACCGGUCCCACACAGAUGACGUGAACGGGGCUCUGCUCAACAGUGACGCCUCCAACCCUGAUUCGUUCAGCUUGGAGCCGCUGCCUGGAGAAUCACAGAGCGGUCCUGCUAUGGAGUCCCCCAGCCAGUCCCAAGAGUCCCAGGAAAG